GGGGUGUCGUCCACCCGCCUGUAAUCAGGGUCUGGGUGCGCGAGCGUUUGUGCUCUGCUGGCAGCCUGUGUGGGGUGACCGCCCCGUUAGCGGGGUGUGGGUCGAGGUGCCCCGGACUGGGAGAGAAGGAGCCUCUCCCGGCCGUAGGGAUGGGGGCUGCCCUGUAAGUCAGGGAGCAACCGUGCCCCGGAGUCCCAGGCCCUUUGCGUUGGAGGCAGUGGCUGGGGGCCCCCUGUAAGCAGGGAAGCUGGCUCUUUGGCCGCUGCUUUUUGUACGCCCAGCCCCAUUUGCCCAGCCUGCCCGCCUCUGUGAUCCCCCGCAGCACCGGCUGGAAGUCCGCCGCGCGUCAGUGAGGAGCUGCUGCAGAAGAAAGAAGAAGCAGCGGCGUGGGGACCUGGGCGGCAGGAGCGAGCAAGAAGAGGAUGCGGAAGCGUGCAGAUGCGGGGGGGAAGGAGAGAGGCUCCCUGGGCAAAGCACCUGUCCCGUUAGCGGGGCCGCAGUCGCAUUUGAGUUGAGCGUUGCCGGCGCCUUUGGCGACCCGGCCGGCUUUGUGCUGGGCGACCUCCCUGUAAGCAGGGCUCGGGUCUUUGCUGUAGUUGGCCUUUUGCCUUGCUGCUCCUAGGGCUGCCUGGGGAGCGUGGCCCCCUGUAACGGAGGGCGAGAGCCACCUCUCCGCACCUGAGUGGGAAAUGGAGCUCGCCGGACCCCGAGGCCACCCUGUAAGCAGGGUAGUGCCGCUUCCCUGCCCCUCUUUGUCCUCCGGCCCCUCGGCAUCGUUGCCUGGUGGUGGCCUGUCAAUGCGACGGCCCCGUACUCGGGGUGCGCGCCACGGCAUUUGGCCUUUGGCUUUACCCGAGGAGCCCCUUGGCACGUUGAGGUCUGUGGCCUCCGUGCAGCCUAGGGACAGGUCACAGGCUCUUGUCUGUUGCUUGUGGUUGUGGGUUUAUUCCCAGGUGUUGGCUGCGCUGGGUUGUCCUUCCCUUCUGGAAAGUCGCGCCUGCGUGUGUGCGUUCCCCUUCCUUUCCUUGUUUGCGUUUGUGGAGCGACUGAGCGACUGAGCUUUCCCUUUAGGCCUCCCCAGAGACGGCUGCAGCUUAGCUUUGACUUCCCGGGGGGGAACGGAGGACUUUGGUGCAUGCCGCAAGAGGGGUGUUCCCUGCUAGUCCCGCGAGCGCAGCGAGUGUCCUGUCUUCCUCCUUUUUACUUAGUCCAGAUCAGAGCCACGCGGUAGUUGUGUGGCCGAGGCCGCCCUGUAGCCAGGGCUUGGGCCUGUCCUUGCGUGGCCGCCUGUUCUGCUGGCGGCGUGGCAGCCCUGUAGUCGGGGUGUGUGUCCCAAGCUUAGGAGCCCUCUGUCCCUUGAGCAGCCCGCCCGCCCGCCCUGUACUCAGGUGUGGGGAGGCUGCAGCGUUGCAGCCGGCUGCUUUAGCCAUCCAGCUGGUGGGAAUGACCCCUCCCUGUCCCGUCAGAGGGUGCAGGUUGAGGUGCUGCUUGCGUGUGGGGUGACCUCCCCGCUCGGUGGGUCGAGGCUGCUCCCUGGGUUCCCCAAGAGAAGACGUUGGUGAUGUUCUGCUGCUGCCGGGCGGGCCCGCCUGUAGCUCAGGCGUUGGCGGGAGCCUCGUGCUCCGCGGGGCUUCUUGGAGAGGGUGAGGUGCGGGGGUACGGUCCUGUAGGCAGGGCUGUGUGUGCCCCCCGUGUGUGCUUGCUGAGCUGUGUUCCGAGAGACCCCCCCCCCCCCCCCCCCCCCCCCGGACUCGGGUGGGAAUGUGGCCCCGGCCUUUCAGAGGCACGGGGCUGCGAGGUGUGGGCUUGGGCUUGCGCCCUCCCUGGAAGUUGAGGCUGGGAUCCCGACUGCGGCCUUUGGCCGUGCCGCCCCGCUGCCUGGCUGCUGAGAGUUGUUCCUGCCGCUGGGGGGGAAACCGAGCUCUGUGGCUCCAGGGGUGUCGUCCACCCGCCUGUAAUCAGGGUCUGGGUGCGCGAGCGUUUGUGCUCUGCUGGCAGCCUGUGUGGGGUGACCGCCCCGUUAGCGGGGUGUGGGUCGAGGUGCCCCGGACUGGGAGAGAAGGAGCCUCUCCCGGCCGUAGGGAUGGGGGCUGCCCUGUAAGUCAGGGAGCAACCGUGCCCCGGAGUCCCAGGCCCUUUGCGUUGGAGGCAGUGGCUGGGGGCCCCCUGUAAGCAGGGAAGCUGGCUCUUUGGCCGCUGCUUUUUGUACGCCCAGCCCCAUUUGCCCAGCCUGCCCGCCUCUGUGAUCCCCCGCAGCACCGGCUGGAAGUCCGCCGCGCGUCAGUGAGGAGCUGCUGCAGAAGAAAGAAGAAGCAGCGGCGUGGGGACCUGGGCGGCAGGAGCGAGCAAGAAGAGGAUGCGGAAGCGUGCAGAUGCGGGGGGGAAGGAGAGAGGCUCCCUGGGCAAAGCACCUGUCCCGUUAGCGGGGCCGCAGUCGCAUUUGAGUUGAGCGUUGCCGGCGCCUUUGGCGACCCGGCCGGCUUUGUGCUGGGCGACCUCCCUGUAAGCAGGGCUCGGGUCUUUGCUGUAGUUGGCCUUUUGCCUUGCUGCUCCUAGGGCUGCCUGGGGAGCGUGGCCCCCUGUAACGGAGGGCGAGAGCCACCUCUCCGCACCUGAGUGGGAAAUGGAGCUCGCCGGACCCCGAGGCCACCCUGUAAGCAGGGUAGUGCCGCUUCCCUGCCCCUCUUUGUCCUCCGGCCCCUCGGCAUCGUUGCCUGGUGGUGGCCUGUCAAUGCGACGGCCCCGUACUCGGGGUGCGCGCCACGGCAUUUGGCCUUUGGCUUUACCCGAGGAGCCCCUUGGCACGUUGAGGUCUGUGGCCUCCGUGCAGCCUAGGGACAGGUCACAGGCUCUUGUCUGUUGCUUGUGGUUGUGGGUUUAUUCCCAGGUGUUGGCUGCGCUGGGUUGUCCUUCCCUUCUGGAAAGUCGCGCCUGCGUGUGUGCGUUCCCCUUCCUUUCCUUGUUUGCGUUUGUGGAGCGACUGAGCGACUGAGCUUUCCCUUUAGGCCUCCCCAGAGACGGCUGCAGCUUAGCUUUGACUUCCCGGGGGGGAACGGAGGACUUUGGUGCAUGCCGCAAGAGGGGUGUUCCCUGCUAGUCCCGCGAGCGCAGCGAGUGUCCUGUCUUCCUCCUUUUUACUUAGUCCAGAUCAGAGCCACGCGGUAGUUGUGUGGCCGAGGCCGCCCUGUAGCCAGGGCUUGGGCCUGUCCUUGCGUGGCCGCCUGUUCUGCUGGCGGCGUGGCAGCCCUGUAGUCGGGGUGUGUGUCCCAAGCUUAGGAGCCCUCUGUCCCUUGAGCAGCCCGCCCGCCCGCCCUGUACUCAGGUGUGGGGAGGCUGCAGCGUUGCAGCCGGCUGCUUUAGCCAUCCAGCUGGUGGGAAUGACCCCUCCCUGUCCCGUCAGAGGGUGCAGGUUGAGGUGCUGCUUGCGUGUGGGGUGACCUCCCCGCUCGGUGGGUCGAGGCUGCUCCCUGGGUUCCCCAAGAGAAGACGUUGGUGAUGUUCUGCUGCUGCCGGGCGGGCCCGCCUGUAGCUCAGGCGUUGGCGGGAGCCUCGUGCUCCGCGGGGCUUCUUGGAGAGGGUGAGGUGCGGGGGUACGGUCCUGUAGGCAGGGCUGUGUGUGCCCCCCGUGUGUGCUUGGUGAGCUGUGUUCCGAGAGACCCCCCCCCCCCCUCCCGGCCGUACUCGGGUGGGAAUGUGGCCCCGGCCUUUCAGAGGCACGGGGCUGCGAGGUGUGGGCUUGGGCUUGCGCCCUCCCUGGAAGUUGAGGCUGGGAUCCCGACUGCGGCCUUUGGCCGUGCCGCCCCGCUGCCUGGCUGCUGAGAGUUGUUCCUGCCGCUGGGGGGGAAACCGAGCUCUGUGGCUCCAGGGGUGUCGUCCACCCGCCUGUAAUCAGGGUCUGGGUGCGCGAGCGUUUGUGCUCUGCUGGCAGCCUGUGUGGGGUGACCGCCCCGUUAGCGGGGUGUGGGUCGAGGUGCCCCGGACUGGGAGAGAAGGAGCCUCUCCCGGCCGUAGGGAUGGGGGCUGCCCUGUAAGUCAGGGAGCAACCGUGCCCCGGAGUCCCAGGCCCUUUGCGUUGGAGGCAGUGGCUGGGGGCCCCCUGUAAGCAGGGAAGCUGGCUCUUUGGCCGCUGCUUUUUGUACGCCCAGCCCCAUUUGCCCAGCCUGUCCGCCUCUGUGAUCCCCCGCAGCACCGGCUGGAAGUCCGCCGCGCGUCAGUGAGGAGCUGCUGCAGAAGAAAGAAGAAGCAGCAGCGUGGGGACCUGGGCUUCAAAUCAAGUUAGCAAUCUGUUUGUGUGUUUAUCUCAUUAUCAUUUUAUUUGGAGCCUCAGUUUGAAUGGUUUUUUAUGACUUUAUCAGCCUUUUUCGCAGCACAGUCAGCUGAGAAUAAAUUUUUUAUGUUGUUCUUCCU
ensembl:lncRNA